AGAAUCCUUAUGUCAGGAAAGAAUGAGUCAGCAUAGAGGCCAACUAAUCCUUUCCUUGGCUGAGUAGCAGGGAAUCACAGCCUCUGAGUAUGAGAGUUCAUACUUUGUUUCCACCACAGGUGCUGAAGAAAAGCAAAACCCGGUAAUGAAUCAGUCAAAACCUUAAAUGGGUGCGGCUAAGUUAAACUAAGUACCUGGCUGGUACCAGAAAUGCAAGGGAGCGCACAUAGACAAAAGAAACAGAGAAUGGCAGAGUUGGAAACAUAAGUCCCUACUUGGUUUAUAAAAAGAAAAAGAGGGAUGUUUUCUUUGUAAAAGAGAAAAUCUUCAAUAUUCUUUAUACAGUCAUAGAAAAAGUUUGGGAAAACCAAGGACAUUUUAGAUGAGUUUUCUUCAGAAGAAAAUUAUGAAAACAGGUAAUAUUGAAAUCCUUCUUUCCUCUUCUCCUUCCUUCCUCCCUCCAUUCCUGUUCUCUUCGUUUUUCCUUCCAUUUUUCCUUCCUACUACCCUAGCAAAUUAAAUGAUCUUUCAUGUUUUCUCCCUUAAUUCUGAUUAUGGCUACAACUGCAGAGUUGAUAUAGAAAAUCACUGUGCCAGGAAGAGCUCCUGCCCACCACCAAUCCUGGGAGACUAUCUUUCAAGAUUCUAGCACCAGAAUCAACAAACUGGGUAUGACCCACAGCAUUCUGAACAAUAUUUUUUUAAUCAUAUCAUUGGAGGCAUUGUAACUUGUCUUUUCAAUGUUGUUUUUAUAAAAUAGAGAAAAAAAUGUUUAUGAAAGGGAAAAAUGUCAGUUUUAAGUCACUGUAAAAUAAAAAAUA
rnacentral:lncRNA from 1 species